AGCACUUGACAUACAACGAACUCGUCAGAGAUGACUUGGUGCCUGCUUCGGUGGAACGUUGAUAC
rnacentral:rRNA from 1 species